CCUACGGGAGGCUGCAGUGGGGAAUAUUGGACAAUGGGGGGAACCCUGAUCCAGCCAUGCCGCGUGUGUGAAGAAGGCCCUCGGGUUGUAAAGCACUUUCAGUGAGGAAGAACGCCUGGUGGUUAAUACCCAUCAGGAAAGACAUCACUCACAGAAGAAGCACCGGCUAACUCCGUGCCAGCAGCCGCGGUAAUACGGAGGGUGCGAGCGUUAAUCGGAAUUACUGGGCGUAAAGCGCGCGUAGGUGGCUUGAUAAGCCGGUUGUGAAAGCCCUGGGCUCAACCUGGGAACGGCAUCCGGAACUGUCAAGCUAGAGUGCAGGAGAGGAAGGUAGAAUUCCCGGUGUAGCGGUGAAAUGCGUAGAGAUCGGGAGGAAUACCAGUGGCGAAGGCGGCCUUCUGGACUGACACUGACACUGAGGUGCGAAAGCGUGGGUAGCAAACAGGAUUAGAUACCCUAGUAGUC
rnacentral:rRNA from 1 species